AUACGUAGGGAGCGAGCGUUGUCCGGAAUUACUGGGUGUAAAGGGUGCGUAGGCGGGACUGCAAGUCAGAUGUGAAAUGCCGGGGCUCAACCCCGGAGCUGCAUUUGAAACUGUGGUUCUUGAGUGAGGUAGAGGUAAGCGGAAUUCCUAGUGUAGCGGUGAAAUGCGUAGAUAUUAGGAGGAACAUCGGUGGCGAAGGCGGCUUACUGGGCCUUUACUGACGCUGAGGCACGAAAGCGUGGGGAGCAAACAGGAUUAGAUACCCUGGUAGUCCACGCUGUAAACGAUGAUGACUAGGUGUGGGGGGACUGAACCCUUCCGUGCCGCAGUUAACACAAUAAGUAUUCCACCUGGGGAGUACGAUCGCAAGGUUGAAACUCAAAUGAAUUGACGGGG
rnacentral:rRNA from 1 species